GGCGGACGGGUGAGUAAUACUUAGGAAUCUGCCCAGUAGUGGGGGACAACAUUCGGAAACGGAUGCUAAUACCGCAUACGCACUACGGUGGAAAGUGGGGGACCUUCGGGCCUCACGCUAUUGGAUGAGCCUAAGUCGGAUUAGCUUGUUGGUGAGGUAAUAGCUCACCAAGGCGACGAUCCGUAGCUGGUCUGAGAGGACGAUCAGCCACACUGGGACUGAGACACGGCCCAGACUCCUAC
rnacentral:rRNA from 1 species